UACGAAGGGGGCUAGCGUUGCUCGGAAUCACUGGGCGUAAAGGGUGCGUAGGCGGGGCUUUAAGUCGGAGGGGAAAUCCUGGAGCUCAACUCCAGAACUGCCCUCGAUACUGGCGAUCUUGGAGUCCGGGAGAGGUGAGUGGAACUCCGAGUGUAGAGGUGAAAUUCGUAGAUAUUCGCAAGAACACCAGUGGCGAAGGCGGCUCACUGGCCCGGUACUGACGCUGAGGUGCGAAAGCGUGGGGAGCAAACAGG
rnacentral:rRNA from 1 species